rnacentral:rRNA from 1 species
UACGGAUGAUGCGAGCGUUAUCCGGAUUUAUUGGGUUUAAAGGGUGCGUAGGCGGAUCGUUAAGUCAGUGGUCAAAUUGAGGGGCUCAACCCCUUCCCGCCAUUGAAACUGGCGAUCUUGAGUGGAAGAGAAGUAUGCGGAAUGCGUGGUGUAGCGGUGAAAUGCAUAGAUAUCACGCAGAACCCCGAUUGCGAAGGCAGCAUGCCGGCUUCCUACUGACGCUGAAGCACGAAAGCGUGGGGAUCGAACAGG